rnacentral:rRNA from 1 species
UACGUAGGGGGCAAGCGUCGUCCGGAAUUAUUGGGCGUAAAGAGCGCGUAGGCGGUCCGAUAAGUCGGCUGUGAAAGUCAGGGGCUCAACCCUUGGAAGCCGGCCGAUACUGUCGGACUAGAGUCCGGAAGAGGCAAGUGGAAUUCCCGGUGUAGCGGUGAAAUGCGCAGAUAUCGGGAGGAACACCAAUGGCGAAGGCAGCUUGCUGGGACGGUACUGACGCUGAGGCGCGAAAGCGUGGGGAGCAAACAGG